rnacentral:rRNA from 1 species
UGGGGAAUAUUGCACAAUGGGCGAAAGCCUGAUGCAGCGACGCCGCGUGAGGGAUGACGGCCUUCGUGUUGUAAACCUCUUUCAGUAGGGACGAAGCGCAAGUGACGGUACCUGCAGAAGAAGCACCGGCUAACUACGUGCCAGCAGCCGCGGUAAUACGUAGGGUGCGAGCGUUGUCCGGAAUUACUGGGCGUAAAGAGCUCGUAGGCGGGUUGUCACGUCGUCUGUGAAAUCCUAGGGCUUAACCCUGGACGUGCAGGCGAUACGGGCCGACUUGAGUACUACAGGGGAGACUGGAAUUUCUGGUGUAGCGGUGGAAUGCACAGAUAUCAGGAAGAACACCGAUGGCGAAGGCAGGUCUCUGGGUAGUAACUGACGCUGAGGAGCGAAAGCAUGGGUAGCGAACAGG